rnacentral:tRNA from 1 species
GCCCGCCUAGCUCAAUCGGAUAGAGCGUCAGACUCUUACGAGUGCGGGUGAUUCACAUCAUCAUGUGAUCUGAAGGCUGCGAGUUCGACCCUCGCGGUGGGCU